UGAGGAAUAUUGCGCAAUGGGCGAAAGCCUGACGCAGCGACGCCGCGUGAGCGAUGAAGCCUUUCGGGGUGUAAAGCUCUGUCAAGAGGGAAGAUUAUGACGGUACCUCUGAAGGAAGUCACGGCUAAUUACGUGCCAGCAGCCGCGGUAAUACGUAAGUGGCUAGCGUUAUCCGGAAUUACUGGGCAUAAAGAGCGCGUAGGCGGUUAUUUAAGUCAAAUGUUAAAGCCUAUAGCUUAACUAUAGUUCGCAUUUGAAACUGAGUAGCUAGAGAUUAGGAGAGGAAAGCGGAACUCACAGUGUAGCGGUGAAAUGCGUAGAUAUUGUGAGGAACACCAGUGGCGAAGGCGGCUUUCUGGCCUGAUUCUGACGCUGAGGCGCGAAAGCGUGGGGAGCAAACGGG
rnacentral:rRNA from 1 species